rnacentral:ncRNA from 1 species
UGGAAUGCAAGGAUAAGGAAUAGUACUUGUCUGACUUGUUUACAGAAAGUUGCUGGCUGAUGAGAAGCAAUGACAGGGAAGCAGGGAACUCGCCUUAGAGCAGCCUUAGUGAAAUCAAGUUAAGAAAGUAAUUAAGGACGGAACCCCACCGUUACACGGGAAGGAUAUAAGACAGUUUUGUCUGUAUCUGGAUAAGUGCAUGGUAAUUUGGUUUACCAUGAAAUCGGGGUGGUACCGCGUAAGAAUAAGUCUUUCGUCUCCUAG